AAAUUUAGCCCUAAAUUAUUUUAUAAACUUCUUAUACACAAAGUUAUUAAAUAAAACAUUUUAACUCCUUAAGUAAAGGCGAUUGAAAAAGCUCUAGGCGCUAUAGAAAUAGUACCGCAAGGGAAAAAAUGAAAUAAUAAUGAAACAACUAAAGCUACUUACAGCAGAGAAUUUACCUCGUACCUUUUGCAUCAUGGCCUAGCAAGACUUAAUAAGCAAAAUGAAAUUUAAGUUUAAAACCCCGAACCUAGGCGAGCUACUUUAAAACAGCCUAUUGGGCCAACCCGUCUCUGUAGCAGUAGAGUGGGAUGAUUUUUAAGUAGUAGUGAAAAGCCUACCGAGCCUAGAAAUAGCUGGUUAUUCAUGAAAAGAAUAUAAGUUCUGCCUUAAGCUUCCCUCAAUGAACCUCAACAACAUUCAAGGCUUAAGAGUUAUUUAAAUAAGGAACAGCUUAUUUAAGCCAGGACACAACCUAAACAACAGGGUAAAGUCUUAACGCUACCAAGUGGGCCUGAAAGCAGCCACCUUUUAAAACGCGUCAAAGCGUAACCUUAAUUCCUAAAUACCAUCAAUCUUCAUGAACCCUUAAUUU
rnacentral:rRNA from 2 species